CCUGUGUCAGUGGUUAAAGAUGACGGAUUUUUUUCAGCUGAUGAAAUAUCUGGAGCCAGGCUAUGAAAUGACCUGCCGACCGACAGUUAGCUCACGGUACGUUUCCCUGUCUUGUCAAAAUGAUUGAUGAUUUUAUUUUUAAAUCACUUUACUUUAUGCCAUAAGUAGGCCUUAGCCUUAAACGUUAAAUGAAAUUCUGUGAUUUAUCUGUAAGGUUGGCUAUAAUUCAGAAUAAGGCUGCACGAUAUUGGAAAACACGAACAUUGCAAUUUUUUUUCAACCCUGCGAUAUAUAUCGCGAUAUUUAAAAAAAUGAGAAUUUUCACCAGAAGACCUGAAUAACACUUUAUGCUAUACUGCACUGCUGAAAUCUCGAGGACAGUUAACCUGCACUGAUCUUACCCCUUUUUUUGAAUGUUAGUAGAAUGGCCUCUGUCUGUCUCAGGGAUAUUUAAGUUUGCUUUUAUUGUGCUGGGAUGUUACUGUGGUAACAGAUGAACGGUACUGCAGACACAGAACAGGUGUUUGGUGAUGUCACCCUUCUAGUAACCGAAAUAAUUACAGAUAAGUGACAUUGUUUUUCUUUUUGUCAACAGGUAUUCAUCUUUGGCGGAAAGUGACGUUGCUUUUCUUUUUGCCAAUAACAAGUAUUCAUCUUUGGCAGAAGUGACGUUGCUUUUCUUUUUGCCAUAAACAAGUGUUGAUCUUUAGCAGUAAGUGACGUUGCUUUUCUUUUUGCAAACAAGUAUUCAUGUUCAGCGGUAAGUGACGUUGCUUUUCUUUUUGCCAAUAACAAGUAUACAUCUUUGGCGAAAGUGACGUUGCUUUUCUUUUUGCCAACAAGUAUUCAUCUUCGGCGGUAAGUGAC